rnacentral:rRNA from 1 species
AACGAACGCUGGCGGCAGGCCUAACACAUGCAAGUCGAGCGGAUCCUUCGGGAUUAGCGGCGGACGGGUGAGUAACGCGUGGGAAUAUGCCCUUCUCUACGGAAUAGCCUCGGGAAACUGGGAGUAAUACCGUAUACGCCCUACGGGGGAAAGAUUUAUCGGAGAAGGAUUAGCCCGCGUUGGAUUAGGUAGUUGGUGGGGUAAUGGCCUACCAAGCCUACGAUCCAUAGCUGGUUUGAGAGGAUGAUCAGCCACACUGGGACUGAGACACGGCCCAGACUCCUACGGGAGGCAGCAGUGGGGAAUCUUAGACAAUGGGGGAAACCCUGAUCUAGCCAUGCCGCGUGAGUGAUGAAGGCCUUAGGGUUGUAAAGCUCUUUCAGUUGGGAAGAUAAUGACGGUACCAGCAGAAGAAGCCCCGGCUAACUCCGUGCCAGCCGCCGCCGUAACAC